rnacentral:tRNA from 1 species
UGGGUUGUAGCUCAGUGGUAGAGCGCUCACCUAGCACGUGCGAGAUGCUGGGUUCGAUCCUCAGCACCACAU